rnacentral:tRNA from 1 species
GUCAGGAUGGCCGAGCGGUCUAAGGCGCUGUGUUCAGGUCGCAGUCCGGUCUUCCGGACGUGGGUUCGAAUCCCACUUCUGACA